CGCGCGAGGCUUAAAGGAGGUGGGGAUUCGUCUGAGGAAUGUGAGGAAUCCGAGCCUGUUCCACGUUGCUACCGAUAAUCCGCAAUCUGCUGCCAUGCACGAAUAUUAUGCCGCCAUUCCAUACCAGAAUUUUAAUUAACCUCCUCCUCCCCCCCCCCAUAAAUUCCUUCACGCAGUCACUUUUAAUCGCUGAUGCUGAGCACACGGCGUUCCAAGGCCCAGAACGCCAAGCGGCCAGCAACGGACAGCACUCUUACAGAAAGGGCAUCCCUCACCGCCAGGAGGUGCAACGUGAUGCCCCCCAGGUGAAGAAGCUACUGCUCUGCACGGGAACUCCCCAAGAGCUCUGCCGCAUGUUGUCGUGACUGGCAAGGCGACGUGGAGGCGACACCGCUGCACUGCAGGGACACCGUGACGCUGUCCGCUGUUGGAUGACGCCGCAGUCUCCCGGCUGCUUCUUGUUCGAUGAUCGCGUGGCGCGUGCACAGGUCACAUUUCCUUCACGCGGAAAUUCUGUUUCGAUGAUCGAAAAGUUUCCACAAUUUGUCGACUGCGUUUACGCGAAAUUUCGUAAACCCCGGACGUUCAUACUCUUUGGUUCUUUCUGUAAAGUCACGUAGGUAUAAAAUAAAAUAAAUCACGACGGACGUUCGUUUGACGAGGGAUACCGGUGCAGGAGAAUGUCUUUCCCUUGACGCCAAUUUGCGCAUUUCAGGGUGGAGACGUUUAGUAAUGUAGAUUUCCCAAUUCACGGUCACUCACGCCUCCCUCGCCCUCUUUGUCCGCGUCACUCUCACCGCGUCACUCUUUGUCUACGUCACUCUCGCCGCGUCACUCUCACCGCGUGACUCUUUGUCCACGUCACUCUUUGUCCACGUCACUCUUUGUCUGCGUCACUCUCACCGCGUCACUCUUUGUCUGCGUCACUCUUUGUCUGUGUCGCUCUC